rnacentral:sRNA from 1 species
AUCGAGCCCCCCGCCGCCGCGCUGCGCGCUAACCAGGCCCCCACCGCCGUGCCGCCCAAUGCCCCAUCCAGCCCCACGUAGCCGCACCACGCCCCCAUCCAAGCCGAGGCCGCCGCGGGCACAUCCCCAUCGAGGAGCACCUGCCUUCGUCCCCACCUUUGAUGGCCGUCUCCAUCCUCUGCUCCAGGUGGAACGCUAUACACGAAGUCGUAGCUCCGUUUGUGACCCCCGCCUACUCCUCCUAGGACGCCACUGUGGCUGAGGCAAGCGACUCCGCUCGGCCAUAUCUACAUCAGUGUGCUUCGUAAACGAGAGGUCAGUAAAGCAACUCCAUGUUUCCAUCUGUGGCUCUACAACUUUCCACAAAGAACCAUGGUAUGUUCAUAGUUGAUAUGCAUUAGAAUUAGAGAUUUUAGUAUCAGGGUAAAUUAGUUCUCUUUGGUCAGAAGUUUCUUGGUUGGGGGGAGAACAUAUUUUGAAUUUGUUGAACCUCUUGCAGUCCCGUUUGUGCUUGAUGGUACAGAUUAUUGUGAAGAUUUAUUUGCCAGGAGUCAUCUAGAUAUUCUAAUGCCACUGUGCAGUCUUUGUACAAAGCAAACGAAUAUAGUGUUGCAAACUCUAUUGAAUCGACAUGUUGUCCAUCCUUCCAAAAGAGUGUUGUGUGCUGCCAUUUCCAGAUUUGACUUGUAUCUCUGAAAUUAAUAUCUGGAGACUGUAUAAUAUGCUAAUGGAAAGGGGACCAGGUUACAGAAAGAUGGAGGAUGGAGCGGCUAAAUUCUUUACAUUCUGGUUAGAAAUUAUAUUCUUCUUGCAUUAAAUUAUAUUCUUCUUGCUGAAUUGAAAUUCAGUUACUUUCUUGCACUGAACAGUUAUGCACACAUUUCUACUUGGUUAAUUAUAGGUGCUAUUUGACUAGGCCGCUGUGAUAGAAACCAGUAAUUGCCACAUGGCUUGAGAUCAUCUUGUAAGGGGGUGGCACAUGCAGAUGGUGCAACAUUGCUGUAUGCAGGAUCUCUGGAUUUUUGUUUUUUCCCUUUAGUUCUUGUUUUUAUGCUCUUGCUUCAAUCUGUGCUAUCAAAUUGCUUUGUAAAGAAUACAUUUCUGCACUAAGAUUCACAAGCAGUUGGUUCCAUGACAGUAUCCUAUCUCCUGUAUCUGUUUUAGAUAACCAAUUUUGCCUCUUCUAAACUGUAAUCAGGGGUAGACCAUAAAUUAAAGAUCGAGUUAAGACUGAAGAUUGCUAACACCCUAAUCAGAAUGGAGGAGUUGUUCUGUUAAUUAAUUGCUGCUUGCAUCUUCUUCUAUUGGUUGUGUUUUGCACAUAUUGUGUGGAUUGAAACUCUAAUUCAGUUUGCUACGGCGAAUAAGAUUUCAAAUUUUCCUUAUGGGAGAGAGGAUAAGAUUCAGUUUUUUUUCCAAAAAUAUAUUAAUUUCCUGCCAAUGCAACACAAGAUGACAAUCAUUUCUUCAAGUGCAUAAUAUUUUAAUGUUCUUUUUGCAGAAAAUCAUUGUUUAAACUAUUUGGAUAUCAUGCCUGAAUUAGAGAGGCUACAGAACAUCAUGGAAGCAAUACAUGGACCUGAUAGCACCAAGCACUCCGCAUGGUCAGGAUCAGGGUGAGAUGUAGGGCUAGCGACAGAGCUUGGAUGCAAAUGAUUGCUCUAUCCCAACAAUUGGUUGGAUCUCUGUCUUGAUUGAAGGCAUAUAAUGAUCAUGCCAAAGGACUGGGAUUGAUUUAUGUUGUCAAUGCACACAUUUGGUUAGUCAGCCACUAAGAUGUGUCUAUUACCUUUCCAGCAGAGGUUGUAAGAACUAAGGCUCAUUCUGCUUCUCUUGAGUUAUGUGUAGCUAGCGACUUUGUAGAUCCAUUCAUGUUGUGUUCUUGCCUCGUGAUGUUCUCAUUAAUACCGGGGAAUCUUCAACUUAUGUUCACAUGAUAUUUUUCUAUGGUUCUAAUUUAUUUCUGUGAUGCUUGCC